rnacentral:rRNA from 1 species
CCCAGACUCCUACGGGAGGCAGCAGUGGGGAAUAUUGCACAAUGGGGGGAACCCUGAUGCAGCGACGCCGCGUGGGUGAGGAAGUACUUCGGUAUGUAAAGCCCUAUCAGCAGGGAAGAAAAUGACGGUACCUGACUAAGAAGCCCCGGCUAACUACGUGCCAGCAGCCGCGGUAAUACGUAGGGGGCAAGCGUUAUCCGGAUUUACUGGGUGUAAAGGGAGCGUAGACGGCGACGCAAGUCUGAAGUGAAAUGCCAGUGCUCAACACUGGAACUGCUUUGGAAACUGUGUAGCUAGAGUGCAGGAGAGGUAAGUGGAAUUCCUAGUGUAGCGGUGGAAUGCGUAGAUAUUAGGAGGAACACCAGUGGCGAAGGCGGCUUACUGGACUGUAACUGACGUUGAGGCUCGAAGGCGUGGGGAGCAAACAGGAUUAGAUACCCUCGUAGCU